rnacentral:lncRNA from 1 species
UUUUGUAUAACAUUUUCAUUUUCUCUCUAAGAACUUCCAGAGAGUUCUCGGAAGAACUCAUCUUCUCUCAUCUUCAUCUUUGUUUUUGUUUGCUAUGUUUUUAUUGUAUCAUAGCGGACGAUCAUCAGAUGAUUCUCUACUAUAUCUUGUUAUCCCGGUCGAAAUCGUGUUGGAAAGUAUUCGGGUAUUUGUGAGAUAUUCGGUCAGUGAUGAUCUCGAUAUGAAUCGAGUGUUAAUCUGAGACUUCUUUCACCAUUAUCGGGUUGCAUCUUCACAUCUUGGACAUUUUGGGUUGGUUUUCCAACGUCCUCGACUCGAUUCCGGUGAGACUUCAGAUUUUAGGGUUUCUGCUGCUCGGAACUGGCAUUUUUCUGUUAAUCGAAGGCCGUUCUUCUCCGGUCGUGAAGAAGGAGGGUAAAUUUGUUCCUAUUUUAGGUGCUCUAUGAUUUGCAUGAGUCUUUUGAUACAACUUUAGUUUUUCAAACUGAUUACAGAGACUAUCUUUUGAUUUUAAACUCAUUGUUGUUCAUGGCUGCUAACAUGAGUGCUAAUACAACUCCUGUUGACCCUACCUCAAACUGAUUACAGAGGUUAUCUUUUGAUUUUAAACUCUUGUUAUUCAUGGCUACUAACAUGAGUGCUAAUACAACUCCUGUUGACCCUACCAGUCCCCUUUUUGUUUACUCCUCUGAUGUUCCUGGUAUUUCUCUUGUGUCCACUCCCUUCUCGGGUAGUGGUUAUGGGGGUUGGAGGAGGAAAAUGAUAGUAGCGUU